UGGCCCGUUGGUCAAGUGGUUAAGACACCGCCCUUUCACGGCGGUAACAUGGGUUCAAAUCCCGUACGGGUCAUC
rnacentral:tRNA from 2 species